GGCCCCGUAGCUCAGCAUGGACAGAGCGGCGGCCUGCGGAAUAGACUUCAUGUAGAAAGCCGUAGGUCGUGGGUUCAAAUCCCACCGGGGCCG
rnacentral:tRNA from 1 species